rnacentral:lncRNA from 1 species
CUCUAGUUUGCCAGUCCCCCACCCCCUCUGAGUGAGACAGGUGUUAACAUCCUAGUGACCAUCUGUGCCCCUUCUCUGUUGGGGACAACAGCCUUCAUGAGGAAGAGCCUCUCCCCAGUGCCCUGCAGUGCUCUCCCCUGUGAGCUCCCAGCUCUCCUGUUCUGAAAUAGGAACCGCCUUCUCUGGGGCAAAGGAGCAGGAAAGCUGGCACAAGCCCUGUCCUGCUUGUAUGGGUUAUCUGUUGCUGUGUAAGAAAUGUUCCGCCAUAGGGUGCCUUCCCUUGGGUAGGGAGGGAUUUGGGAGCUGCUGAGCGUGGAGACUAGCAUGGGC